GAUGAACGCUGGCGGCGUGCCUAAUACAUGCAAGUCGAGCGAACGGACGAGAAGCUUGCUUCUCUGAUGUUAGCGGCUGACGGGUGAGUAACACGUGGAUAACCUACCUAUAAGACUGGGAUAAUUUCGUGAAACCGGAGCUAAUACCGGAUAAUAUUUUGAACCGCAUGGUUCAAAAGUUAAAGACGGUCUUGCUGUCACUUAUAGAUGGAUCCGCGCUGCAUUAGCUAGUUGGUAAGGUAACGGCUUACCAAGGCAACGAUGCAUAGCCGACCUGAGAGGGUGAUCGGCCACACUGGAACUGAGACACGGUCCAGACUCCUACGGGAGGCGGCAGUAGGGAAUAUUCCGCAAUGGGCGAAAGCCUGACGGAGCAACGCCGCGUGAGUGAUGAAGGUCUUCGGAUCGUAAAACUCUGUUAUUAGGGAAGAACAUAUGUGUAAGUAACUGUGCACAUCUUGACGGUACCUAAUCAGAAAGCCACGGCUAACUACGUG
rnacentral:rRNA from 1 species